rnacentral:rRNA from 1 species
CCAGACUCCUACGGGAGGCAGCAGUGGGGGAUAUUGCACAAUGGGGGGAACCCUGAUGCAGCGACGCCGCGUGGGCGAUGGAGUGCUUCGGCAUGUAAAGCCCUAUCAGCAGGGAAGAAAAUGACGGUACCUGACUAAGAAGCCCCGGCUAAAUACGUGCCAGCAGCCGCGGUAAUACGUAUGGGGCAAGCGUUAUCCGGAUUUACUGGGCGUAAAGGGAGCGUAGGCGGCCUGGCAAGCCUGAUGUGAAAUACCGGGGCCCAACCCCGGGGCUGCAUUGGGAACUGCCAGGCUGGAGUGCCGGAGAGGCAGGCGGAAUUCCCGGUGUAGCGGUGAAAUGCGUAGAGAUCGGGAGGAACACCAGUGGCGAAGGCGGCCUGCUGGGCUUUAACUGACGCUGAAGCACGAAAGCGUGGGUAGCAAACAGGAUUAGAUACCCGCGUAA